GCCAGCCCGCUCAGAACUCAAGGAAUUGACGGGGCCCGCACAAGCGGUGGAGUAUGUGGUUUAAUUCGAUGCAACGCGAAGAACCUUACCUGGUCUUGACAUCCCGGAGACCCUUAGGAAACUAGGGGGUGCUUCCAUCUGGAAGAAUCUGGAGACAGGUGCUGCAUGGCUGUCGUCAGCUCGUGUCGUGAGAUGUUGGGUUAAGUCCCGCAACGAGCGCAACCCUUGCCUUUAGUUGCCAGCAGUUCGGCUGGGCACUCUAAAGGGACUGCCGGUGUUAAACCGGAGGAAGGUGGGGAUGACGUCAAGUCCUCAUGGCCUUUAUGACCAGGGCUACACACGUACUACAAUGGCCGAUACAAAGGGCAGCGACACUGCGAGGUGAAGCCAAUCCCGUAAAAUCGGUCUCAGUCCGGAUUGGAGUCUGCAACUCGACUCCAUGAAGUUGGAAUCGCUAGUAAUCGUGGAUCAGCAUGCCACGGUGAAUACGUUCCCGGGCCUU
rnacentral:rRNA from 1 species